UCCCAGACUCCUACGGGAGGCAGCAGUGGGGAAUAUUGCACAAUGGGGGAAACCCUGAUGCAGCGACGCCGCGUGAGUGAAGAAGUAUUUCGGUAUGUAAAGCUCUAUCAGCAGGGAAGAAAUAGCGACCUUUGGGUCGCCAGACGGUACCUGAUUAAGAAGCCCCGGCUAACUACGUGCCAGCAGCCGCGGUAAUACGUAGGGGGCAAGCGUUAUCCGGAUUUACUGGGUGUAAAGGGAGCGUAGACGGGACUGCAAGUUGGGUGUCAAAUCUACCGGCUCAACCGGUAGCCGCACUCAAAACUGCAGUUCUUGAGUGAAGUAGAGGCAGGCGGAAUUCCUAGUGUAGCGGUGAAAUGCGUAGAUAUUAGGAGGAACACCAGUGGCGAAGGCGGCCUGCUGGGCUUUUACUGACGCUGAGGCUCGAAAGUGUGGGGAGCAAACAGGAUUAGAUACCCGCGUA
rnacentral:rRNA from 1 species